rnacentral:tRNA from 1 species
GAGGGUAUAGCUCAGCAGUAGAGCACAUGCUUAGCAUGCACGAGGUCUUGGGUUCAAUCCCCAGUACCUCCA